rnacentral:lncRNA from 1 species
AUACUAUUACUUCUAUUGUCGCAUCAAAUUAUUUGAUUCAAUACUAUUGCUUCUUUUGUCGCAUUAAUGAGUUAACAAAAGAAAUAGGUGCUAUGUGCUUAACACGCAAAUACACUUCGUUAAAGGAAAAAGGACUACAUUGUGGGACCUGUAAGAAGGUCUCAUAAUCAGAAGAUUCCGAUCCAACUAAUUGUUUAGUGGCCUUCAAGGAUUAUCCAUGCAAGGAGAGUCCAGUGGACUCUUUAGUCGUCUAAUUGUCAUGAAAUAAAUAGAGGGACAAAGUGUUGCCGAUAAACUUAUUAAGUGAUCAUGUGGGUAACUAAAUAAGUAGAUUUUGAUUUGAGAACUUAUAGUGAUGCUUGGAGGAGAAUUAAAAGAUAGACGGAGCUGAUACUGAGACCAUAUUUUUGCAUGGGCCCCACAAAUUUGUUAGUGUUUGAUAUUUCUGAUUAGCAAAGGAGGAAGGAAGAUGAAUGCACAGAGACGAUGAGAAAAGAAUGGUUGCUCUUCCUCUCUGCAAAAUUCAGAGGGAUAUUCUAUUUCAUUAAUGCUUCUCUCACUCACUCACACAACGUGCAGGGAGAGAUAUUACAGCUAACAAGAGCUGAGCUGGAUCAACUCAUCAGAAAAAUUGAUCUCAGCCAUUCAUUACCUAACAACUAGGAUUAUCACACAUGGCACUCAUGGCCUUACAUCUUUUGACUUUACACUUGGGUAGAUAUGCUCAAGUGAAUACACAAAUAAACUCAUCUUAUUUCAUUAAUACUAAUCAGCUAUAGACUUAUAAUUCAACACUCCCCUUUAAGUCUUGAUCUGAUUUUACUCCAAGCAUAUUUCUGAGAUAGUUGAACCGAUCCUUAGCCAAAGGUUUUGUGAAAAUAUCUGCUAACUGCUCUUCAGUGGGACAGUACACUAAAUCAAUGAUUCCUUCCUGCAUUGCAUCUUUAAUGAAGUGAUACCUUCUAUCUAUGUGUUUAGUCUUCUGGUGAAACACAGAAUUCUUGGUGAUUGCAAUUGCAGAGGUGUUGUCACAUUGCAAUGGAGUUGCUUCAGUUUGAAGUUCUUCAAAAUCUUCCAAUACAAAUCUGAGCCAGAUUGCUUGUGCAGUGGCAUUUGAUGCACUUAUGUACUCUGCUUCUGCAGUGGAUAAUGCCACGCAGCUUUGUUUAACUGAAGCCUAAGAAAAAACUCCACUUCCAAAAGAAAAUGCAUAACCGGAUGUACUUUUGCUAUCAUCUGGUGAUCCACCCCAGACACUGUCGCAAUAGCCAAUCAACAUUGCCUUCUUGCCUUUUGUAUACUCCAAACCAUAGUCUAGAAUCCCUUUGAUGUAUCUGAGCACACGUUUGGCAGUUCCAAAAUGCUUGCUAGUAGGACAAUGCAUAAAUAUAGCAAGUAGACUAGAUGCAUACAUAAUGUCCGGCCUAGUAGCAGUAAGAUAUAGAAGACUUCCCACAAUGCUUCUGUAUAAUUCUUCACUUACUGCUCCACUUCCAUCAUCUUUGGUUAAUUUCUCAGUCGCCACAAGUGGUGUGAUCACAGAUUUGCACUCAUUUAGACCGAACUUGUUUAGUAAAGAACUUGCAUAUUUCUUUUGGUGAAUGAAAAUGCUAAAGUUGGUCUGAAUUAUCCCCAUUCCAAGAAAAUGAUUGAGAAGACCCAAAUCUGUCAUUUCAUAUUUUCUUUUCAUGUCUUCUUUGAAUUCUUCAAGCAUCUGUCUAUUACUACCAGUAUAGACUAUGUCAUCCACGUAGAUAGAAACAAUCAGAACGUCUUGCCCCCUUGCUUUGGUGUACAGUGUUGGUUCACUCAAACUUUUCUCAAAACCACAUUGAAAGAAGUAUGUAUCAAUUUCUCCAUACCAAGCCCUUGAAGCCUGUUUUAACCCGUACAGAGCUUUAUGCAGUUUGUAGACUUUAUCUUCCUUUCCCUUGACUACGUAUCCUUCGGGCUGAUCUACAUAAACUUCUACCAAUACACCAUUUAGAAAUGCUAAUUUUACAUCAAGCUGAUAGAAUUUCCAGCUCUUAUGUGCUGCCAAAGCUACAAGUGUCUUGAUAGUAUCCAAUCUAGCCACUGGAGCAUAAGUUUCAUUGUAGUCUAGCUCUGGCUUUUGAGCAUAACCCUUUGCAACUAGCCUGGCUUUGUUUUUUAAAACUGAACCAUCAAGAUUUAACUUGGUUUUGUAGACCCAUUUAACUCCAAUAAUCGGCUUUUCUGGUGGUCUAUCCACAAGCUUCCAGGUGCCAUUCUUCUUAAUCAUGGCUAAUUCAUCUUCCAUUGCCUUUAACCAUGAUUCAUCUUGAGCUGCAUCUGCAUAUCUUUUUGGUUCCAGAAUGCAUGAGUUGCAUUGGGCAAGAACAUCAUUCAAAUUUCUCCAUUUCAGAGGUGAGUGAUCAUAAGUCUCUGAAAUCUUUGCAGAUUCAGGGGUACAAAUUUCUUGUUCUUCUGUAUAAGAGGGAAAACUAGAGCUGGGGGAGCUUUCUUCAAUUUCACUCAACUCAUGAAUUCACACCAACUACAUUUUCAGGUUGAUCCUGAAUGUAGGUUGCAGCAACUGAAUUUUGUGAAUUUUCUUUCCAAUUCCAAGUCAUAGAUUCAUCAAAAACUACAUCUCUUGACAAGAUUAGGUUCUUAGUGUGAGGAUCAAAUAUUCUGUAUCCUUUCUCACAUGUAGCAUAUCCCACAAACACACCUUUGACACUCUUAGCAUCUAGCUUUUGUCUUGUCUCAGUAGGCACAUGUACAUAGCACAGGGAACCAAAAAUCUUGAGAUGGGCUAUACCUGGUUUUCUACCACUAUAAGCUUCAAAAGGAGUUGUAUUUCCAAGUGCCUUUGUAGGACACCUAUUUAGAAUAUACACAGCUGUGUGUAUAGCUUCGGCCCAAAGAAAGUAUGUCAUAUCUCUAUCAUGAAGCAUAACUUUUGCCAUUUCAACCACAGUCGGUUUUUCCUUUCCACUACUCCAUUCUGUUGAGGAGUAUAAGCCAUUGUAAGUUGUCUUUGAAUGCCUUCAGCAUCACAGAACUUAGUGAACUCAGAUGAUAAGAAUUCUCCACCUCUGUCACUCCUUAGGCAUUUAAGUUUGAAACCACUCUGCAACUCCACCAUAGACUUAAAUUUUUUGAAAUAAUUGAAUGCAUCAGAUUUGUAUCUGAGAAAAUACACCCAAAUCAUCCUUGUACAGUCAUCAAUGAAUAGCAUGAAAUACUUGUUUUCAGCCAAGGAUGCAUUUUGCAUAGGACCACACAGAUCAACAUGAAUAAGUUCUAGAUGACAGUUUGCUCUCCAGGCUUGUUCUUUUGGAAACCAGUCUCUAUGUUGUUUUCCAAAUUGACAUCCUUGACAUACAUCUUUGAUUGCUUCUAGAUAUGGAAGACCAUGCACCAUAUUCUUCUCAUUGAGUUACUGAAGCCCCCUGAAGUUCAAGUGACCUAGUCUUGUGUGCCAAAUCUGAGUGAGUGCUCUAUGCUAGCCUUCAGAACCAACUGAUUGUUUUUCAACAGAGAAAGAGGGUAGCAUCUAUUUUCCUUCUUCUUGACCUUCAUGACAAGAUUGUCAAGUGAAGGUCCAUCAAAUAUACUACACAAGCCUCUUCCAAAUACUAGAUAAUAUCCAUGCUCAUCCAUUUGUCCAACACUCAGUAAGUUCUCUUUUAACCCUGGCAAGUGCAUGACUUCUCUGAUAUACUUUUUACCUCUAUUUGUAUCUAUCUGCAAUGAACCCAUUCCAACAACAUUCACUAACACACUAGUAGGCAUUUGCACUUUUCCAGCAACAUUUGUUUUUAUGUCAACAAGAAGAUCAUCAUUCCCUGUCAUGUGGUUACUACAACCACUGUCAACAUACCAAUUUCCAUUGACAUUUGUCUCUGAGAUUGCACUAUUAGCAUAGAACAAAUUCCCUGUCACUUCCACUUGAUUUGCAGAGUUUGCCUUUUGCACAUUCUUCCCUACAGUGCAUUCUUUAGCCCAAUGACCAAACUUAUCGCAUGUAUAACAUUUGGGCUUCCCCUUAUACCUACAUUCACCAAAAUGAAACUUAGAGCACACUCUACACUGGUUUGAUACUCUAUUGACCCAAUGACUGAUUGAUAUGAAUUUGAUGCAGGACUAUUGAAAGAUUUCUGUUGGAAUCAAGGUUUUGAAUCCCAUUUCUUUCCCUUAGAGUUCCAAUUCUUCUGGAAUUUUGAUGAACUAGAUUGAAUUCCACUUCUAUUUUGCCCUUUGGGACUCACUGAGAAUGAUGCAAAUGCCUUCUCAGUGGUAUCAACAUUAUGCAAAUCAAACCGUUGUUCUUGACUCUUCAAGAUUGCAACAACUUCCUGCAAUUCUACAGUCUCUAGACACUUUGUAUUUUCUAUAACCAAACAGAUCGAAUCAUAAGGUUUACUUAGACUUAUCAGAACCUUCUGCACAAGUCUCUCAUUAGAAAGAGAUUCACCAAAUGUUCUCAUCUGAUUAAUUAAGUCAUUCAGCCUUGUGAGAUAACUAGAUAAGGAUUCAUCAUCUCGCAUUCUAGCAUACUCAAAUUCUCUUCUAAGAUUUUGAAGUUCUACAGAUCUAACCUGAUCACCACUGUGGUAUUCACCGUACAGUAGAUCCCAUGCCAUCUUGGCUGAGUCGGCGUUGGCAAUCCGAGGAAAGAUCUGAUCAGAAACAGCAUUUUGUAUAAUACCUAGAGCCUUUGCAUCCCUCAUGAGCACAGCAACCAUUUCAUCACCGUCGUCUUCCGACGACCCUUCAGCUUCCUUCUUCUUCUUCUUUGAAUCGGGUGUUGGCAAUCCCUUUUCUACCAGAUUCCAUAACCCAAUGGAUUUGAAGAUUGUUACCAUUUUAAUUCUCCAAAACUCAUAGUUCUCACCGGAGAAGAUUGGAGUUCUCACUUCCGAGCUUCCAGAUCCAGACAUCUUGCAAACCUUUCGUGAGCUUCGAUUGAGUCGGUGACCUCACAGAUUUACGCCUAGAUUUUAAAUGACGCAACCUGGCUUUGAGGCCAUGUUAGUGUUUGAUAUUUCUGAUUAGCAAAGGAGAAGGAAGGAAGAUGAAUGCACAAAGACGAUGAGAAAAGAAUGGUUGCUCUUCCUCUCUGCAAAAUUCACAGAGGGAUAUUCUAUUUCAUUAAUGCUUCUCUCACUCACUCACACAACGUGCAGGGAGAGAUAUUACAGCUAACAAGAGCUGAGCUGGAUCAACACAUCAGAAAAAUUGAUCUCAGCCAUUCAUUACCUAACAACUAGGAUUAUCACACAUGGCACUCAUGGCCUUACAUCUUUUGACUUUACACUUGGUAGAUAUGCUCAAGUGAAUACACAAAUAAACUCAUCUUAUUUCACUAAUACUAAUCAGCUAUAGACUUAUAAUUCAACAAAAUUGGUCCUUGUCAUAAAAUGAGGACAUUGAGAUGGUGGAAUUAUAUGUAUGUAUAUAUCAGAAAUUUGAUCGUUGAUUGUAGUUUUUUUAUCAAAAUUUUCCAUGGUAGACCUUGUAACUAAUUGGUUACAUGUUAAGUGACAGUUAAUUUUUCAUUAGGACUACAAUAACGAAAGACAUGGUGCAAACUGAGUGCACUGGCGUUUUAGGAUUCAUACAGCUGACCCCACUAAGUGGGAGAAGGCUUGGUGGUUGUUGUACUAUAAUAACGAAUCUUAGACGUGAUUAUAUUUCUUUGUUCUGUGC